rnacentral:rRNA from 1 species
UUCCGUAGGGGUAACCUGCGGAAGGAUCAUUACCGAGUGAGGGCCCUCUGGGUCCAACCUCCCACCCGUGUUUAUCGUACCUUGUUGCUUCGGCGGGCCCGCCGUAAGGCCGCCGGGGGGCAUCUGCCCUCUGGCCCGCGCCCGCCGAAGACACCAUUGAACGCUGUCUGAAGAUUGCAGUCUGAGCAAUUAGUUAAAUAACUUAAAACUUUCAACAACGGAUCUCUUGGUUCCGGCAUCGAUGAAGAACGCAGCGAAAUGCGAUACGUAAUGUGAAUUGCAGAAUUCAGUGAAUCAUCGAGUCUUUGAACGCACAUUGCGCCCCCUGGUAUUCCGGGGGGCAUGCCUGUCCGAGCGUCAUUGCUGCCCUCAAGCACGGCUUGUGUGUUGGGCUCCGUCCUCCUCCCGGGGGACGGGCCCGAAAGGCAGCGGCGGCACCGCGUCCGGUCCUCGAGCGUAUGGGGCUUCGUCACCCGCUCUGUAGGCCCGGCCGGCGCUUGCCGACACAUCAAUCUUUUUUCCAGGUUGACCUCGGAUCAGGUAGGGAUACCCGCUGAACUUAAGCAUAUCAAUAA